rnacentral:lncRNA from 7 species
AAAUUUCAACUCACCAGGCAAGGCGAUGCCUGUUUUCUAAAUGUGAAUCUCGCUUCUUGUAGAACUGAAGUGUGGUCAGAAGACUGUGAAGUCUGGCAAAGCAAUUACCUCAGCAUCGGAUCUUACUGUCUUCUUCUCCCGUCCUGUAGGCAGAUUUCACAUUUCAUUAAGUUCUUGUCAUUCGUCCCACAAGGAUUGCACCUGAGCUAGGAGGCUAAGAAGAAAGGCAGAAUUGAUACGCAAAAAUGGAACAACUUCUACAUGGUUUCAGGGAAGCCAGAUGGAUCUGUCCAUAUCUGAGCCAUACUGAUUCUUCUUUCCUUGACGGGAGAUGGAUUCCCUGCUCUCUGUAUCCUGCAGAGAAAAGAUUUUGCUGCACAAGGUCUUCCCCGAGGGAGAGGAUGAGCGCGUAAGUUAUGGGACAGAUGUUAGUCACGCAGCUCAUUAGCCAUGGGAUGGUGGUGUUCAAAUACUCAUGUGAGUGGCAAGUAGCCAAUUCUCCAGACUGGCAUAUUCUUGAUUUGAAAGGCAAAUGUCAUUUCCUGGUCUCAAAGCUACCCAUCAGCCACCUGAAUCAUUAAAAGAAAUUACAGCUGUCACAAGGGGAAGAACAGCAUUUCUGCUCGCCGGUGUCUAGCAUUGCUUGUUCAUUUGCAACUUCCAACUUGCUUCAUGUAGGAGAAACAGCUUUUAAGGGAGCAGUGAACCCUCCCCUUCUGCCUUCAAAGCUGCUGCUGGUAAUUAAGAUUUUGGAAAUAAACAAGGAGCUUUCAUUUGUGGUUUAAGCCUUCUUUAAUAACCACUGUGACUCUACUUUGACCUUCUGAGCAGCUCUUGUGCAUGCUCCUCUUUCCCUGCCCAAACUGAAAUUUUGGCAACAAGUCAUGAAAGUGCUGCAGCCACAAGAUUUUCAGGCACUGGAAAAAUAAGUGAGGUGGACUCCAUGAAUGAUUUUAAGGAUUCAGACUUCUGGGGAGGCCAACGAAAAAUGUUAACAGCAAGGGUUUGAGAUAUCUAUGAAGAUAAUUUGUACAUGGUAGAAGCAUUGCUACCCAUGAGCAGCACUGGACACCGCUUCGUUUGACGGGAGAAUCGGACAAUAAGACUUUUCAGUCAUUGCGGGUCUCAUUAAGUAGCAAUUUUCAUAAUGAUAACUGAGGUGGACAUCUCAAUUUUGGCUUAAUAGCCACAGACCUAACUUGCGGCAGAAAUAAGACCUAAAGCAGGUGGAGCUUGGGAGCUGACCCAAGAACCGGGGUUUGCUCUCAUCUAACAGCUGAAUUACAGUUCCUAGAAAGCCAUCAGCAGGACGAGAGGGACUUAGCACUCAGCAGAGCUAACCAGGAAGGCUUCUAGGGAUCCCAGAUGGUGCUCUUAAGUAAAUGAGCAUCAGAAAGCCUUGGCAAGGGAAAUCAAGCGGGAAUGAGCCACUUCAGCCCUGAGAUAACUAGUCAGAGCAGAUCUGAGGCUAUCAGAGAAAGUUCAUGACCAAACAGAUGAUGCCAGGCAGAACUGACAGGGAGGUUCCCCCUCUUAGGAAGGCACUUAGUUCCCAGUGCUAGCCACGAGUUUUAUGCAAACCCAAUGUGGAUGUGACACAAACUUGCACUAAACUAGACAUGCCAUGUUUUUGAUACCUCAUUAACCUGGCUGUUUUUCAUUCGCAUGAAUGACAGAAAACAACAAGCAGUAUCACCUCAAGAGGGAUUGAAGAGAUAAGCCCUGCUAUCUCAAUGAGCAAGAUAUUAUGCAGAGUUCAGUGAGGAAAUUUGGAGACCUUCCCAUGGCCUGAUCCAGUGCUCGCAUGAGUCUCUGUCAUAGAACCAUUAAGGUUGGAACAGCCCUCUAAGAUCAUAUAGUCCAACCGUCAGCCCAUCCCCACCAUACCCACUGACCAUGUCCCUCAGUGCCAUACUCAUGCAGUUCUGGAACACCUACGGGGAUGGUGACCCCACCACGUCCCCAAGCAGCCUGUGCCACUCUUUCUGAGAAGAACUUGUUCCUGAUAUCCAGCCUGAACCUCCUCUGGUGCAACUUGAAGCCAUUACCUCUCAUCCUGACUGGAACAGGAUAAAGACACAUUUUCUUCCCCGAUGAAUAAAGGCAGAGUCUGGGAGCCGCUUUUCCUAAGUAAAAUGAACUUGGGAAGUACCAUCAGAAAUAAACGCCAUGAAGCACUCGACCAACUU